rnacentral:misc_RNA from 1 species
AACGCACAUUGCGCCCCUUGGUAUUCCGGGGGGCAUGCCUGUUCGAGCGUCAUUAUCACCCCUCAAGCUCAGCUUGGUGUUGGGGCCUGCCCGUCACAGGGCAGCCCUUAAAAGCAGUGGCGGUGCCAUCUGGCUCUACGCGUAGUAAUACUCCUCGCGACAGAGUCCCGGUGGUGUCCUGCCAGAACCCCAAAUUUUUUCAUGAUUGACCUCGGAUCAGGUAGGGAUACCCGCUGAACUUAA